rnacentral:lncRNA from 1 species
CUGAGGGGCACAGGAUCCAGGACACAGCCACACACGCCUGCCCUCUGCCCCAGGCUGCUUGGCUGCUUACCUGGGUGGGCUUGCCAAACCACUUCCAGAGCUGCCGGGCGGGCAGGAAGGCUGCAAUCUUGGGCCGGUUCUCCACGGAGGGCAGGCGCUGCCGCUUGGCCAGCUCCUUGGUGGUGGGCAGGUGCACACCCUCACGCUUCUUGGGGCGGCUCCUGGGCCCAGCCUGCGCCUUGGGCUGCAGAGGCUGUGCAGGCUGGGGCGGGGGUGCUGGUGGCUGGGCAGCAGGUGCCUUCUUAGCCGAGGAGCGGGCCUUGCUGGCUGGCUUGGGGGGCUUGGCAGGCAGGGCGGGCUGGCUGGAGGGGCCAGGCACAGGCGCACGGGUCGCCUCGUCGUCUGAGCUGCAGGAGGAGUCCUCGUCCGUGGUGGAGGAGGAAGAGGAAGAAGAGGAGGAAGAGGAAGAAGAGGAGGAAGAGGAAGAGGAGGAAGAGGAGGACGAGGAGGAAGAAGAAGAGGAAGAGGAAGAAGAGGAGGAGGAUGAAGAAGAGGAGGAGGAAGAGGAGGAGGAGGAGGAGGAGGCCGGGGAGGCCGGGGAGGCCGGGGAGGACGCCCUGGAGCUGGUGGCGCUGCAGGUGUGUCCUCCCGCAGCCCGGUUGUCCCCCCGGGUCUUGUCGCUGUCCUCCUCGCCUUCUGUCUCCGAGCUGCUGCUGCUGCUACUGCUGCUGCUGCUGCUGCUACUGCUGCUGCUGCUGCUGCUGCUGCUGCUGCUGCUCUCUGACUCCUCCGCCCCGUCCUGCUCAGCCUGGGCCUUGUCUGGGCUCUUGGGGUCCCCAGGGUCCUCCAUUGGGAGCCCCACCCCAGGCUCCUGGGCAAGGUCCCCACCCAGGCCCUUGGGCUCCUGCCAGCCCCCCGCCACCGUGUCUUCCCGGAGGAGCAGGGCCUCUUUGGCCUUCUUGCUUUUGGGGGACGUGACCCCCUCAUGGUCCAGCUUGACGAGCAGCUCAGCUUCCUCCCCCGGCCUCCGGGGGCCCUUGGGCCCCAAAUCCUCUGUGGCCAGGGCCUUCUUGGGCUUGGGCCGGGUGGCGGGCAUGGUGAUGAGGGGCGCCGGGGGCAGGGCCACAGUGGGGGCCGGCAGCUCCCCAAAGGGCUCAGGAGCUGGGCAGCUGGCAAAGGUGGAUGGCACUGGGCCAGGCUGUGGGGGAGCCAGGCGGGCCUUGGGGGCUUUGGCCCGCUUGUCCACAGGUUCUGGGGGGCUCUUCUUGGAACUUGGGGUGCCGAUUGGCUCCAGGCCCGUGGAGGUAAUGGGAACCUCAUCAGUGGAGGCCACCUCCUCUGAGACAGCGGCUCUGUCU